GCUAACCUCAGCCCCAUAAAUCAACAAUACAAUUAAUAGGCCNNNNNNACAAAAACUAAACCAUUCGUCAUAGUAUAGGUGAUAGAACUGUCAUCAGCGGAGCGAUAACGACAGUACCGCAAGGGAAAGAUGAAAGAAUAUUUAAAGCAAAAAUAAGCAAAGAUUAAUACUUGUACCUUUUGCAUAAUGAAUUAGCUAGUCAAAGUGAACAAAAAGAAUUAUGCUCACCUUCCCGAAACUAAGUGAGCUACUAUAAAAUAGCAAAUUAGAGCCAACUCGUCUAUGUAGCAAAAUAGUGAGAUAAUUUUAUAGUAGAGGUGAAAAGCCUACCGAACUUAGAGAUAGCUGGUUGUCCAAAAUAUGAAUUUAAGUUCAGCUUUAAAUUUAAUCUACGUACAACUAAACAAAAUUUAAAUUUAAAAGUUAAUCAAAAGAGGGGCAACUCUUUUGAUAUAGUGAACAAACUUAUUUAGAGGGUAAUGAUUUAAUAAUCAUAAGUCAUAGUUGGCCUAAAAGCAGCCAUCAAUUAAGAAAGCGUUAAAGCUCAAACAAACCUCAAACUUAAUCCCAUCAAUUAACCAAAUCCCCUAAACCAAUAUUGGACGAUUCUAUAACAAUAUAGAAGACAUAAUGCUAAUAUAAGUAACAUGANNNNNNNNNNNNNNNNNNNNNNNNNNNNNNNNNNNNNNNNNNNNNNNNNAAUUACCAGAUCAAUAAAUAUAAUCCUAACACUAGCAAAUUAUUUAAAUUAUUGUUAAUCCAACACAGGUGUGCACAAAUUAUUAUAGGAAAGAUUAAAAAGAAUAAAAGGAACUCGGCAAACUAAAACCCCGCCUGUUUACCAAAAACAUCACCUCUAGAAUUCAUAUUAUUAGAGGCACUGCCUGCCCAGUGAGUUUAACUUCAACGGCCGCGGUAUCCUGACCGUGCAAAGGUAGCAUAAUCACUUGUCUCUUAAAUAGAGACUUGUAUGAAUGGCAUAACGAGGGUUUAACUGUCUCUUAUUCUUAAUCAGUGAAAUUGACCUCCCCGUGCAGAGGCGGGGAUUAACAUACAAGACGAGAAGACCCUGUGGAGCUUAAGAUUAAUAAAUUAAUUCAAUUAUUACUUAAUCCAAGGAAACGGUACAACGAAACGUAAUUUAUAGUCUUUGGUUGGGGUGACCUCGGAGUAUAAAAUAACCUCCGAAUGACAUAACCAAGAUUAACAAAUCUAAGUGUAACACUACCAGUAAUUGACCCAUAUAUUGAUCAACGGAUCAAGUUACCCCAGGGAUAACAGCGCAAUCCUAUUCAAGAGCCCAUAUCGACAAUUAGGGUUUACGACCUGGAUGUUGGAUCAGGACAUCCAAAUGGUGCAACCGCUAUUAAUGGUUCGUUUGUUCAACGAUUAAAGUCCUACGUGAUCUGAGUUCAGACCGGAGAAAUCCAGGUCGGUUUCUGUCUGUACAUUUAUUUCUCCCAGUACGAAAGGACAAGAGAAAUAAGGCCAACAUUACCAGACGAGCCUUAGAACUAAUAUAUGAAAUAAUCUCAAUAUACUAAUUCAAUAAACCACUGCUCUAGAAAAGAGUC
rnacentral:rRNA from 1 species